rnacentral:rRNA from 1 species
UACGUAGGUGGCAAGCGUUGUCCGGAAUUAUUGGGCGUAAAGCGCGCGCAGGCGGUCCUUUAAGUCUGAUGUGAAAUCUUGCGGCUCAACCGUAAGCGGUCAUUGGAAACUGGAGGACUUGAGUGCAGAAGAGGAGAGUGGAAUUCCACGUGUAGCGGUGAAAUGCGUAGAGAUGUGGAGGAACACCAGUGGCGAAGGCGACUCUCUGGUCUGUAACUGACGCUGAGGCGCGAAAGCGUGGGGAGCGAACAGG